CUCACCUCACCCUCACUCGGUCACUCUCUCUCAUGACCUCACUUCCUCACCCUCCUUGCUGAUUUCUCUCGAUCUCUCUCCUCCUUAUUUGCCGUCUUCGAAUCCGGCCACACCCACAUCACACAAGUGGAUCACCUCUCUCUGGACUGACCUAUCACCUCUCUGAUCUCUCUCUCUCUCUCUCAACUUCUCAUCCCUCACUGUGCACCGAUUCUCGAUCAAAUCAGUAAAUGGAAAACCAGAAAGUAAAAAAAGCAUGUUUUGAUGCUUUUUGCCUUCAAAUUUUGGGGCUUUGUAAGGACCUCUCCUAGAAGGUUUCAUCCUUUGGAAUUCUACUUUGGUGGUUUUAGGGUUUUCUCUCUCUCUCUCUCUCUCUCUCUCUCUCUCUCUC